ACGCUAGCUACAGGCUUAACACAUGCAAGUCGAGGGGCAGCAUGGUCUUAGCUUGCUAAGGCCGAUGGCGACCGGCGCACGGGUGAGUAACACGUAUCCAACCUGCCGUCUACUCUUGGACAGCCUUCUGAAAGGAAGAUUAAUACAAGAUGGCAUCAUGAGUCCGCAUGUUCACAUGAUUAAAGGUAUUCCGGUAGACGAUGGGGAUGCGUUCCAUUAGAUAGUAGGCGGGGUAACGGCCCACCUAGUCUUCGAUGGAUAGGGGUUCUGAGAGGAAGGUCCCCCACAUUGGAACUGAGACACGGUCCAAACUCCUACGGGAGGCAGCAGUGAGGAAUAUUGGUCAAUGGGCGAGAGCCUGAACCAGCCAAGUAGCGUGAAGGAUGACUGCCCUAUGGGUUGUAAACUUCUUUUAUAAAGGAAUAAAGUCGGGUAUGGAUACCCGUUUGCAUGUACUUUAUGAAUAAGGAUCGGCUAACUCCGUGCCAGCAGCCGCGGUAAUACGGAGGAUCCGAGCGUUAUCCGGAUUUAUUGGGUUUAAAGGGAGCGUAGAUGGAUGUUUAAGUCAGUUGUGAAAGUUUGCGGCUCAACCGUAAAAUUGCAGUUGAUACUGGAUAUCUUGAGUGCAGUUGAGGCAGGCGGAAUUCGUGGUGUAGCGGUGAAAUGCUUAGAUAUCACGAAGAACUCCGAUUGCGAAGGCAGCCUGCUAAGCUGCAACUGACAUUGAGGCUCGAAAGUGUGGGUAUCAAACAGGAUUAGAUACCCUGGUAGUCCACACGGUAAACGAUGAAUACUCGCUGUUUGCGAUAUACUGCAAGCGGCCAAGCGAAAGCGUUAAGUAUUCCACCUGGGGAGUACGCCGGCAACGGUGAAACUCAAAGGAAUUGACGGGGGCCCGCACAAGCGGAGGAACAUGUGGUUUAAUUCGAUGAUACGCGAGGAACCUUACCCGGGCUUAAAUUGCAGAUGAAUUACGGUGAAAGCCGUAAGCCGCAAGGCAUCUGUGAAGGUGCUGCAUGGUUGUCGUCAGCUCGUGCCGUGAGGUGUCGGCUUAAGUGCCAUAACGAGCGCAACCCUUGUUGUCAGUUACUAACAGGUUCCGCUGAGGACUCUGACAAGACUGCCAUCGUAAGAUGUGAGGAAGGUGGGGAUGACGUCAAAUCAGCACGGCCCUUACGUCCGGGGCUACACACGUGUUACAAUGGGGGGUACAGAGGGUCGCUACCACGCGAGUGGAUGCCAAUCCCCAAAACCUCUCUCAGUUCGGACUGGAGUCUGCAACCCGACUCCACGAAGCUGGAUUCGCUAGUAAUCGCGCAUCAGCCACGGCGCGGUGAAUACGUUCCCGGGCCUUGUACACACCGCCCGUCAAGCCAUGGGAGCCGGGGGUACCUGAAGUGCGUAACCGCGAGGAGCGCCCUAGGGUAAAACUGGUGACUGGG
rnacentral:rRNA from 1 species